rnacentral:rRNA from 1 species
UACGUAGGUGACAAGCGUUGUCCGGAUUUACUGGGCGUAAAGAGCGCGCAGGCGGUCGUUCAAGUCGAGUGUGAAAGCCCCCGGCUCAACUGGGGAGGGUCACUCGAUACUGAUCGACUCGAAGGCAGGAGAGGGUAGUGGAAUUCCCGGUGUAGUGGUGAAAUGCGUAGAUAAUCGGGAGGAACACCAGUGGCGAAGGGCGACAUACCUGGCCUGUUCUUGACGCCUGAGGCGCGAAAGCUAGGGGAGCAACGGG